GUGUCAGCCGCCGCGGUAAUACGUAGGGAGCAAGCGUUGUCCGGAAUCAUUGGGCGUAAAGCGCGCGUAGGCGGCCCGGUAAGUCCGUCGUGAAAGUCAAAGGCUCAACCUUUGAAUGUCGAUGGAUACUGCCGGGCUAGAGUCCGGAAGAGGCGAGUGGAAUUCCUGGUGUAGCGGUGGAAUGCGCAGAUAUCAGGAGGAACACCAAUAGCGAAGGCAGCUCGCUGGGACGGUACUGACGCUAAGGCGCGAAAGCGUGGGGAGCGAACAGGAUUAGAUACCCGUGUAGUCC
rnacentral:rRNA from 1 species